AGACAGCAGUAGCCACGGUAAUACGUAGGGUGCGAGCGUUAAUCGGAAUUACUGGGCGUAAAGCGUGCGCAGGCGGUUGUGUAAGACAGGUGUGAAAUCCCCGGGCUUAACCUGGGAACUGCGCUUGUGACUGCACAGCUAGAGUAUGGCAGAGGGGGGUGGAAUUCCACGUGUAGCAGUGAAAUGCGUAGAGAUGUGGAGGAACACCGAUGGCGAAGGCAGCCCCCUGGGCCAAUACUGACGCUCAUGCACGAAAGCGUGGGGAGCAAACAGGAUUAGAUACCCCCGUAGUCCCUGUCUCUUAUAC
rnacentral:rRNA from 1 species